GACGGAGGAUGCAAGCGUUAUCCGGAAUUAUUGGGCGUAAAGCGUUCGCAGGUGGCUGUUCAAGUCUGCUGUCAAAGACCGGGGCUUAACCCCAGAAAGGCAGUGGAAACUGAACGGCUGGAGUGCAGUAUGGGUAGAGGGAAUUCCCAGUGUAGCGGUGAAAUGCGUAGAGAUUGGGAAGAACACCGGUGGCGAAAGCGCUCUGCUGGACUGCAACUGACACUGAGGGACGAAAGCUAGGGGAGCGAAAGGG
rnacentral:rRNA from 1 species